GGGAAGGACGAGGUGGUUUGGGGAGGGCGAGGGGCAGCCAGCCCAUGGGCGGCGUGGAGAGGUGUCGGGUGCUGCACCAGCCGCGGCCCCGGGCGGGAGAGGGGCCCCGAGGGAGACGGGAAACACGCGAGUAGUCGUGAAAGAAGGGAGCCACGGGAUGAGCGCCGUGCGGGGCUCAGGUGCUGGCGGCGGGGAUGAGGGUGAAGCCCGCAAUGGGCAGCGGCUGUGAGGGGACAGCGCCGGGUCGUGACGGGGAACGCGGGAGCGGCGCAGGUGCCUUAUUGAAUGGAGAAGCAAGUGGACAAGAAGUUCCUGUGCCACAAGACAGAUAAAAUUUAUUACUCUCAGGUUUAGAGACCUGGAGCACAAUUCCCAUCUUGCCUUAAAGCAGCCUUUGCUUAUACACUUCUCCCAAGCAGAACACAAGCUGCCAAUAAAAAGCUGUAUUAAACCCCAGGGCGUACACUCUGCAGCUUUCAAGCCCAGCUCUGUGUUAGCUCACACCUACAAUUUUGUACCACACACACAAACUUGACAGUGGUUGUUGCAGUGUUCGGCUUUGGUGAGGACAGUGUGUGUUUGUCAGCAGCCAGUGUGGAGUGGAAUCUGAAGGAGGAAGUGAUGUUUUCCAUGGUAGAACUCAUUGAUGUUGGGGUUUUAUUGUGGAAGUUGUGAUGCAGGUGUUUGGUGUUGGUGUAUUAUUGCAGGAUGAGUGGAUUUGUAAAGGCUUGUCUAGGCAAUGCAGUAGGGAGAGCAGUUCAGAGUGCAAGGAGGAGAUGUGUCAGGGUUUUGGAUGAUUGUCAGUUGAAGAGUUGGAUGCUUGCAGGUUAGGUGUAGGAUAGGGGGUGAAGCUGACUUUGCCUGGGUGGUGCAAUUGGAUGGUGUGGAAAGCUGAUGUGAAACAGGCUUCUGCAAGUGACUCUAAAACUCAAGAUCCAGCUGGCAGCACCAGACACUUCCUGCUGCCAGGCAGGGCUGGGGGCUGUGCAGAGCUGCAGCAUUACCAGAGCGCACUGGAGUGAUGCACCACGAGCCUGAACCUCUGCACGCUCCAGAGAAAUUGUACCAUGGUGGGCGAUAAUGUCUCAUACAGGGAUGGCGAGUUCUUCUCUGGCCAGGAAGACUAAGACAAACAUGCCUCUUUGUCUAUUUCUGAAAUUACGGUUUAGACGGUAUUCAUAUCAUAAAUAAAAAGCUUCCCCCCACUAAUUGUUUAUCAUGUUUUUGUAAGUAGAAUUAGUAGAGAUAUUGAAGCUUGUCCUAGCUAAACUGGAAGAAAGGCAACAGCUGUGUGUACUUUUUUAAUAAAGAUUAAAUCAAAUCUGCCAUCUCA